rnacentral:rRNA from 1 species
CAAACUGGAGAUGGCGACCGGCGCACGGGUGCGUAACGCGUAUGCAACCUACCUUUAACAGGGGCAUAACACUGAGAAAUUGGUACUAAUUCCCCAUAACAUUCGAGAAGGCAUCUUCUUGGGUUAAAAACUCCGGUGGUUAAAGAUAGGCAUGCGUUCCAUUAGGCAGUUGGCGGGGUAACGGCCCACCAAACCGACGAUGGAUAGGGGUUCUGAGAGGAAGGUCCCCCACAUUGGUACUGAGACACGGACCAA